rnacentral:rRNA from 1 species
GACGAACGCUGGCGGCGUGCUUAACACAUGCAAGUCGGACGGAAAGGCCCUGCUUUUGUGGGGUGCUCGAGUGGCGAACGGGUGAGUAACACGUGAGUAACCUGCCCUUGACUUUGGGAUAACUUCAGGAAACUGGGGCUAAUACCGGAUAGGAGCUCCUGCUGCAUGGUGGGGGUUGGAAAGUUUCGGCGGUUGGGGAUGGACUCGCGGCUUAUCAGCUUGUUGGUGGGGUAGUGGCUUACCAAGGCUUUGACGGGUAGCCGGCCUGAGAGGGUGACCGGCCACAUUGGGACUGAGAUACGGCCCAGACUCCUACGGGAGGCAGCAGUGGGGAAUAUUGCACAAUGGGCGGAAGCCUGAUGCAGCAACGCCGCGUGCGGGAUGACGGCCUUCGGGUUGUAAACCGCUUUCGCCUGUGACGAAGCGUGAGUGACGGUAAUGGGUAAAGAAGCACCGGCUAACUACGUG